UGACCUUCGGGGACGAUAACGGCGUCGAGCGGCGGACGGGUGAGUAAUGCCUAGGAAAUUGCCCUGAUGUGGGGGAUAACCAUUGGAAACGAUGGCUAAUACCGCAUGAUGCCUACGGGCCAAAGAGGGGGACCUUCGGGCCUCUCGCGUCAGGAUAUGCCUAGGUGGGAUUAGCUAGUUGGUGAGGUAAGGGCUCACCAAGGCGACGAUCCCUAGCUGGUCUGAGAGGAUGAUCAGCCACACUGGAACUGAGACACGGUCCAGACUCCUACGGGAGGCAGCAGUGGGGAAUAUUGCACAAUGGGCGCAAGCCUGAUGCAGCCAUGCCGCGUGUGUGAAGAAGGCCUUCGGGUUGUAAAGCACUUUCAGUCGUGAGGAAGAUGGCGU
rnacentral:rRNA from 1 species